GUACUGUGCUCUUCGCUUGUUACAAGCAACUCUGGAUGAAUCUUUGUAUGAGCUUGCCGGGGAACUGGUUCAAUUCCUGCUAAGAUCUGGCAGAGAG